rnacentral:rRNA from 1 species
AGAGUUUGAUCAUGGCUCAGGACGAACGCUGGCGGCGUGCUUAACACAUGCAAGUCGAACGGUGAACCAGGGCUUGCCCUGGGGAUCAGUGGCGAACGGGUGAGUAACACGUGACCAACCUGCCCCUUGCUCUGGGAUAACCCCGGGAAACCGGAGCUAAUACCGGAUACGAGACCGCGCGGCAUCACGCGGUCUGGAAAGUUUUUCGGCAAGGGAUGGGGUCGCGGCCUAUCAGCUUGUUGGUGGGGUAAUGGCCUACCAAGGCGACGACGGGUAGCCGGCCUGAGAGGGCGACCGGCCACACUGGGACUGAGACACGGCCCAGACUCCUACGGGAGGCAGCAGUGGGGAAUAUUGCGCAAUGGGCGAAAGCCUGACGCAGCGACGCCGCGUGAGGGAUGACGGCCUUCGGGUUGUAAACCUCUUUCAGCAGGGAAGAAGCGAAAGUGACGGUACCUGCAGAAGAAGCACCGGCUAACUACGUGCCAGCAGCCGCGGUA